rnacentral:lncRNA from 1 species
GAGGGUGUUGCUUGGCUAUAGGUCUGCAAGAGCAUUCAAGUAAAUACGAGUACAUAAGAAUUGUUGUUGUUUCCAGGUGGGUCUUGGUUUCCCUGUGGCCCACUCCCCGCCUCUGUGAUGUCAUCGGCCCAGGCAAUGAGGUCAUUGUCCGGCCUCCUGGCAACUAGGGGGUCAGAACUAAAGCAGUGGAAGAAGCGGCCACAGCCUCACCUGGACGUCCACCCCAAGGCCAGCCUUUCCCCCUUGAGCCUUCAUGUCAUGGAGAACCGGGGCCCUCUCUCCCCCAGCCUCCCAGAGCCUCGGUCUUCCAUGACUGACAUCCCCAGUCAUGUGGACGAAGAGCUGGAUCAGGACACGGUGAACUUCAUCUCCGCCUUGUACUCUGCUCUGGGGCCCCUCCUGCCAGAAGUGACCCAACUGCAGAUCCACCAGGACCCCCCAGUCCACCUGAUGGUUGACAUGAAGGCCAAGUUGAGGGAACUGGGCUCCAGCGUCUCCGAUGCCAGGAAGAGGCUGCUGAGGUACAACAUCUACCUGAAGAAGAGGCUGGCCCGGGCGCUCCAGGAAAAGGCGGCCUGGAGGGAGCAGCAGGCACAGUUGGCACAGAUGGCACAGGUGGCACAGAUGGUACAAGUGGCGCAGAUGUCACAGGUGGCACAGGCGGCACAGAUGGCAGAUGCUGGCACCCAGCAGCCCCCAAUGCCGAGGGGGGUCAGGAUGGAGAUGGCGCCAGGGAAGUCCAGCGCUGGGGUGGAGAAGAACAUCCAGGAGGCCCCGGCCCCAGAGUUCCCACGGAUCAAGCCCCCCGAGAGAGUACAUCGGCGGACCGGGAGCCUGCAAGACCCCCGUUUUGCUACCGUGGGGCAGGAAGGCAUGAGGGGACACGACAAGGCGGAUGACCACUGCCGGGGGAGCCUGGCCGUCCAGGCGGCGCUCCAGAGAAAUGCGGCCAGAGUGGACGCCAUGCGUAAGUGCCUCCUCCUCCUUCUCCAGGCCAUUAGUGGAAUAGAAUAGAAUAACUUUAUUGUCAUGGUGUUGUCGAAGGCUUUCAUGGGCGGAAUCACAGGGUUGUUGUGUGUUUUCCAUGCUGUAUGGCCAUGUUCCAGAAGCAGCAUUCUCUCCUGACGUUUCAUCCACAUCUAUGGCAGGCAUCCUCAAAAGUUGGGGGUAUAUAGGAAAAACUAAGAUAGCUUUGUUAAUUAGCACUGUACAUAAUGUAAAUAAAGUUUCAGUGCCGCUGGCUUCAGCAGAUAUAAAUCAGCGAAGUUGUCGUUCUCGGUCGGUGCCACUUUCACCGUUUGCAAAGUGGUCUGAUGGAUGGGCACAGGUGAGAUCUUGCUCAUCAAUCAGUCAGAGUUGCCAAUUCCCUGACACCACCCGCCUGUUUAUGUUGGAUAACCAGAACUCUACUGUAUUCUGAAAUCUGAAACACAGAACGCUUCUGGUCUGAAGGCUUUUGGAAAACGGUGACUCAACCUGCAGCAUGUUCUCCGGUGGUUCUUCUUCUGCAAGGAGGACAACUUCAUUCCUUUGGUGAUGCAGCUUCUCAGUUGCAUUUCAAGUCGUGAGGAUUCAGUCUCCCCAUACGACUGAGGAAGAACAUUGCAUGGCUCAAGGGAGUGCUGUUGAACGAGAAGAACAUUCAGAUGUAUUAUUGUUGUUUUUACUGCACUACAUCUAUAAUUCAGAUGUUCGUGGGUGCUAUGAUUUUUAGCUUUGAAUGGAUUCAAACUGAAUUUUAAUACUGUUAUGUUUAAUUCCAUUUUAAUGUUUGCAUACUUGUAUAAUUUAAAUGAUAUGGUUAUACGUUUAAUUGUAAGCUGCUUUGAGUCUCCUUUGGGAGAGAUAAAGUGGGGUAUAAAUAAGCGUAAUAGUAGUAAUAGUAUUCUAUUUAUUUAUAUCCAUCUUUUCUCUCUCAACUGAGACCCAAAGUAGCUCUCUGGGUGUUUUGGAAAAAUAGUUGAACAGAAGUAAUUUUUAGGCUUGUUUUAGUUACCGUAUUUAUUUAUUUACGUUCCAUUUCAGAAUAGAGAAGGAAAGAGUUACUCAGAAGGUGCUCUACGGUUUCAGUGUUUGGAUCUGAGCACAACUGAAUUCAAAUACUGUAUAAAUGCUAGCCAGAAUUUGACCUUAAGACACAUGGGUCGACUUAUUCAUGGUUCCAUGUGAGGUCCACACCUUAACUCUUCACUCUCUCCAUUGCAAUGUCACUUCUGGCCUUUUUGAAUGCCUGACUGGGAAAACAUAGGCUUUCUCUUCAUGGAAUUACCCUCAACUUAUCCUCAAAUCAUAGCAAAAUCCAUCAUUUUGGCCCCAGACCAACCCUUGACUUAUCCAUGAUGUCAACCAAUGCAUGAUUAGAUGGGAUAGUGAAUGGAAAUUUACUGAGAAAGCCAAUGAAAAGUUAGGGCAGAGGGGAGACGGGGCUGGAGGGACUUGAAAGGAAGAAGGAUGAAACUCCUUGCUAGUCGAAACAGAUAGGAAAAGGGGGAAAUGGAAAUGGGAGAAGGUUCAAGAGAGAGGACUUUAUGACUCAAAGAGAAGGGAGAUGGAGCUUAAGAAGAAAGGGGGAAGUGGCUGGAUUGAAGACCAAAAAGAAGGACAAAGAAGCAGAGAAGUAAGAAUGAAGAAAAAGCUUGCAUGCACAUGUUUAGAAACUUUAGAACAGUGGUUCCCAAACUUAUUUGGCCUGCCGCCCCCUUUCCAGAAAAAAUAUGACUCAGCGCCCCCUAGAAAGGGGGCAUGGAUUAGUGGGGUGGGAGUGGCUCCUGCUCAAGAGGGCGGGGCUGAGCCCCUCCCCUAGUCCAAGAUGCAGGGCUGGGAGGGGGAGAGAGGUGGGCGGGGCUACAAAUGGGCAGCCAGGACUGGGAUGGACGGAGUUAAGAGCUCUGAGGCAGGGCUGAGCUUCUAUCCCUGUCCUGCGGCGACUGCAGGGCAGGGGUGGGGCUAGAGGAGGGGGCGGGGCCUCUUCCCAAGUGCCUGACGGGGCUGAACCUCU